AGCUGAGGUGGGACUGACCUCAUUCAGGACCUGAACACCCAGGAUGUAUUUAAUCAACCCAGCUGCGGUUCCGCUCUGAUGUCGACCCGGUGAGGGUCGGUAUCAGGUCAGGUGAGGGCACGAGUCAGGGCGAGUGGAAAAUCAACAACGACGCAGCGUCACACUCGGAGCUCUGACCUGGACUUUGUACCGGAGGUCAUGCUGCUGCAGACGCGAUGUUGUGUGGAAUCCUCACAGCCUCCGGUUUAUAAAAGCUGCUAUUGGUCAGUUACACCGAUGAUGUCAUUAAGGAUGAAAGUCUACCAGAUCCAAGAUGGCCUCCAAAACAAAGCGGUAGCCAACAGAAUGGCGUUAGCGGGGACGAGGCUACGGAGCCAACACACUGAAACUCUGCUGAUCCAGGAGCAGUUUCUGGCUGCUGGGGAGGAAAAUAAUACAUGAAUUCACUGAUUAGUCUGAUCUCUGCUGUGGUCUUGAUUCACAUUUUUACUGGAAAACAGUUUCACGAGAAAUGGGUUUAUGAAAACACACGUUACUGGAUUUUUGUUGAAAUAAAACGUCAUUAACCCUUUCA